rnacentral:rRNA from 1 species
UACAGAGGUCUCAAGCGUUGUUCGGAUUCAUUGGGCGUAAAGGGUGCGUAGGCGGCUUUCUAAGUCAGGGGUGAAAUCCUGGAGCUCAACUCCAGAACUGCCUUUGAUACUGGAGAGCUCGAGUCCGGAAGAGGUGAGUGGAACUGCGAGUGUAGAGGUGAAAAUUCGUAGAUAUUCGCAAGAACACCAGUGGCGAAGGCGGCUCACUGGUCCGGUACUGACGCUGAGGUGCGAAAGCCGUGGGG